rnacentral:tRNA from 1 species
UCCUGAGUGGUGCAAAGGUUAACAUGCUUGGCUGCUAAUCAAAAGAUUGGUGGUUCAAAUCUACCCUGAGGUG